rnacentral:misc_RNA from 1 species
GAUGAAGAACGCAGCGAAAUGCGAUACGUAAUGUGAAUUGCAGAAUUCAGUGAAUCAUCGAGUCUUUGAACGCACAUUGCGCCCCCUGGUAUUCCGGGGGGCAUGCCUGUCCGAGCGUCAUUGCUGCCCUCAAGCCCGGCUUGUGUGUUGGGUCUCGUCCCCCUUCCCGGGGGGACGGGCCCGAAAGGCAGCGGCGGCACCGCGUCCGGUCCUCGAGCGUAUGGGGCUUUGUCACCCGCUCUGUAGGCCCGGCCGGCGCUUGCCGAUCAACCAAAACUUUUUUCCAGGUUGACCUCGGAUCAGGUAGGGAUACCCGCUGAACUUAAGCAUAUCAAUAAGCGGA